UACGAAGGGGGCUAGCGUUGUUCGGAUUUACUGGGCGUAAAGCGCACGCAGGCGGUCUGUUAAGUUUGGAGUGACAGUUGGUGGCUCAACCACCAAAGUGCUUUGAAAACUGAUAGACUUGAGGGCUUCAGAGGGACACGGAAUUCCGGGUGGAGUGGUGAAAUGCGUAGAGAUCCGGAGGAACACCAAAGGCGAAGGCAGUGUCCUGGGGAGUACCUGACGCUCAGGUGCGAAAGCCAGGGGAGCGAACGGG
rnacentral:rRNA from 1 species